UUGUCACCUGGAGUUACUUUCAUGUUGAUGAGAAAAACAUUUUGCCGGAUUAAAUACAGGCGCUUCAACAUGCAGAAGCAGUAUAUGAUUGCUGGAUCAACAUUGUAUAAGGACAGAUAAAGAAAAAUGAUUUUAUUUAAUAGAAAACAGUGGCACAGAUCAAGAUUUGCUUUUACAUUUGGAUUAUAGUGAAGAGAGAGUCACGUAGUCUUCUGCCUCUGAGCUGCACCAGCAAGGAGGAGAGAGAGUUUACCCCCAACAGGACAUAGCUGAUGAUGAAUCUGGCCUGUCAUAGAAAGGAAGGAAGGCAAGGAGACGAUGUAGGCCCUCUUCACCAGUCCCACAUGAGCGACCACAGUCACUCCCACAUGACUUUAUCAUUCUGUAGACAUUUGUUAUCAUUUCAUAGACAUUGCUGCCACAGAGAUUUACAUUCUCCAGAGGGAGGUGUGUGCAGGAGCACAGCAGAAGUCAGUGACCUGCCACCAGACUUCCAAGGAGCUGCUCCUUUACUACACUACACUGUUCACCAGCUGAAAGACGAGCUGUCCGUCUUUCAACACGUUUGCAGCUAAAAUAGUGACUCAUUACGUGAACAUAAAUGUUAACUUGCCCGACACAGAUGUAAGUUGUUGCAUUAAAGGAAGAAAUAUACUUGCUCUUGAGAGUUAGAUGAAGAGGCCAAUGUUACGCUCGUGUGUGUGUUAAGUGCAGUGUCUAGCUCGGUGACAGCAUAGAUUGAAAGCAAGGAGAAACAGCAAUGACCAUUUUAAAUGUCUGGUGUGAAAAGAGGCCUGUUGGAUUGCUUUGGUUCAAAUAAAGUUUAAAUGAAAUCUUA